GAGCGGGUCCCACCGCCCCCGGUGCCCGUGGGCGCUCCCGAUGGAGCGGCCCCGCCGACCCUCCGCUCCGCACCAGCGGGCAGCUCGGGCUGGGCUGGGCUGAGCCGCUCCGCAAGGCCACCCCUUCCAGUUCUCACCGCCCAGCGCCAGCACGCUGUUCCUGUAAAGUUGGAGGCGUGUCUUUAAAAACCGAGAAUUCUCCUCUCUCUUGCAGUAACAGAAAAGUAUGCACCUCUGUCUGUUGUGGUGUGGAACAGCAGUGCUGAAUGAAGCACUGGCCUUUUCUGUUUCAUUUACCAGGGAGAGCCUUGGACAACUUGCUGAUUGCUGAGUGAAUUUGAAGAUAUGAAAAACCACAGCAUAGUGUAACAAUGAAGGAACAGUACCAAGAUCUGACCUUGGCGCAUUUAUUCAUGUGCUUGAAGUUACACAAGUCUUUUGCUCUGUUUACCACAGUAACUAGCAUGAGCAAAUGCUUUGGGAUCCUUACAUUAUAGUCUAGUGAAACUAGCCGGAAUGGCUUUUCAAUGUCUUAACGCAGGAAAUUAUCUACAGUGCAUCAUCUGAACGUGUCCAGUGUUUUCUGCAACUACACUCUCUAAGAAGAGGAUAACACAACAGGACUUUUGCCACAAGCACCUUUCUUUUGUGAUGUCACAAAUUUGGUAAGGCAAAAUCUAAUUCUGUGCAUCUUGUUAGAACUGUAGCCAUUCAUUAAUCAGCAAAUUUGACUUUUAAUAGAUGCUGUAAAUCAAGAUGGACAACAUAGAUGGUAUUUAUUAGAAAAUUACGAAAAGUCCCUAUAAUAAUACAGGUUUCUGAACUGCUAACCAAUGACAAAUGCUUCACAGAUCCUCCAAUUAAAUAAAAACAAUGGUGAAAAACUCAUCAUUAAAAGAGAGCAUUACCUUAAGUAAGGUAAACCAUUUACCACUGAGAUAUAUCUGUGUUGGAAUCCCCUUCUAUGAAUGAACAAUUAACUUCAGCAAAGAAUGAACAUGAAAUAAUGAGUUUAAAACAAAAUUUUCUGUUCAGUCAAUUUAAUAAGAAUAUAAAAAUUUUACUGUGGUGUUGCACAUAAUUUUCAGUUCUCUCUUUAAAAAGGUUACUACCCUAUUUUAACUACACCUGAGAUUAGGUAAGUUUUCGAAUUCUUUUUAAGUACCCUUUGUCCUAAAUAUUCCUUACUAUUUUUAGAACAGCACUAGUAACUUAACAGUGACUUUCACCUGUGGAGGCCUUUACAAUUCACACUCCUCAGAGAGAAUGAAGAUGUCUAAGAACAUACAUGAACAUGGGAAAUGCCCCACUGGGUUGGACUGUGGAUCUUUUUUUUGUCUCAGACAGGGGUAAGAGACCCUGGUGCACAUCAGGUAUUUUGUGUGUACAUCAAAUGAGGAGGGUGCCAUCUCUCCUCCAGAAAUGCUCAUUGAACUUCUAGCUGCACUUUUUCCUCUGAACUUUUUAUUUAUACACUCCCUAACCAAGGCCCUUUCCAGUUGCAGGGUCUCCUCAUCAACGGCUUCCAGGCCCUGCCCAUGUUGGUUGUUAACAUCACCAAAAGAAGUAAGCUUGAUGGGGGGAUCCUGGUGACAGUGGGACCUGUGUCCUUUCAUUUCAUCAUCCUUCCACACCUCCAGGCAGAGCAUCACUGGGCAGCAUCCACCUGCUCCUUGGUUAAUCUUCGAGAAGCAACGGGUGAUGUCAGGGCUUCUCUGCUUCAUGCCCUCCUCCAGUUCCCUAUCUGUGUAUUUCUAGUUCUGUAACUCUUCCCUUUCUAUCAUUUGUUGUUCACUGCUGUUCAAUUUUUUCUCCUUGUUUUCAUUACCUAUAGCCCUCUCCCUCCCUAGGGGGCCUUCAAGGUUUUGCUAAUACAUACCUAAACAGAAAAACAAAUAGAAACAGCAGCAGUAGGAGAAACUAUUCAUAGAGUGCACACAAGCUUGGCCACCUUCUUCAAACCAUGUUCUUUGUACUCCUGUAGCUUCCAUGGCUCUUAUGAAGAUAAAUCGUUGCUUAGUCCUUUCACUAUCCAUUUUUUGGAUUUUUUGUAUGUGAACUUAUCCAAUUCUUGUCUGAACCUACUGUUGGGAUCUGCUGCCACAACCUCUUUCAGCAGCAAGUCUAAAAAUACACUAGCCACUGUUUAAAGUAAUGUGUUAUUUUUAUCUGUUUUAAUUUAAUUCCACCAAAUAAGCCAAAAUUGUAAUGUGGUGAAAAAUGGUUCUAUAUUCAUCUUUUCAGCCACCUCUGUGAUUUCAUAAACAAGUCUUGCCACAGUGCUCUCCUAGUUGAUAAUUUUUUAGUCUGAUCUCAUAAGACAGCCGCUACCUUUAAUCCCUUUAAUAAUUGCAAUUGUUUGCUAUGUAUCUUCCCUAACUUUUAUCAGGUCCUAUUCCAGGACCAAAACUGUAGAGCAUUCAAAAUGUGGAUACAAUAGAGUUGCAUUAGAGGUAAGGCAAAAUGAUGCUUUCUCACUACCAUUUCAGAUUAUGCCAAACACUGGGUUUUGCCUCUUGUUUGACAAACUCAUGCAGGGAUUUCAGAGAAUUUCAGUCUCAAGAACUUUAACAUUUCUGAGCUGUAUCUGGUCAUUAGAUCUGGAAGUGCUUUGUGACAAUUUGUGUGCUUCAGAGAAAGCUAAUUAAAUACUGUUGUUAAAUUUUAGAAGCAAUGUUAACCAGAAUUUCAUUCUGAAUCCCAUAAACGAUUACUUUUUACCAUUUUUCAUAUCAUCCAUGAAUAUGUCUAUUGGUCCCAGUGCUGUAGGUCUUCCAAAGGAACAGCUCUACUUGGAGUGAAGUGGAAUUCUAGUUUAAAUAAGCUCAAAUGUAUCUUUGGUAUAAGGCAGACAAGGUGAAAACACUGUAGAUCUUAGCUAGGAAGACAGCAGAGAGAGCAAAUUGGAAUUAUUUUUGGAUCAGUACCUGAGUCCUGUGAUAGAAAAGCCAGCUGCUUCUUCUGUGGUUGAUGAUCUCCAUGCUGAGUGUAGAAGAAGGAGGGGAAUAAGUGCUCCUUAAACAUCAUUGAAAUUUUCAUAGGUUUUGGGUUUUUUCUUAAUUUCUAAAUUUUCAAUGCCCAAAUACCAAAAGUGAACAAUUAAAGGUUUUUAUCAGAGACUUUAUGACUUUGAGCUGUUUGUGUGUGUAUGUGUGCAGACAUCCCGUACAUGAUGCACUCUUUGACUUGAAGGUCUUGCAGUCAAACAAACUGGGUGAGGAAAGAAAUUUGUUCGUAUCCAUUUUACAUAGAGGUGUAAUGGCUCUCUAGCAAUCAGACAUUUUGCAUAUUACAUUUUGCUUAGCACAUUAGUUCUUACCUAUUCAAUAUCCACAUGAAACAGUAAUGUAUGACACCUGUAAAGGCAAUUGCAGAA